rnacentral:tRNA from 1 species
UCCCUGAUAGCUCAGUGGGUAAAGAAUCUGCCUGCAAUGCAGGAGACCCUGGUUCGAUUCCUGGGUUGGAAA